rnacentral:rRNA from 1 species
CCUACGGGAGGCUGCAGUGGGGAAUAUUGCACAAUGGGGGGAACCCUGAUGCAGCGACGCCGCGUGAGUGAAGAAGUAUUUCGGUAUGUAAAGCUCUAUCAGCAGGGAAGAAAAUGACGGUACCUGACUAAGAAGCCCCGGCUAACUACGUGCCAGCAGCCGCGGUAAUACGUAGGGGGCAAGCGUUAUCCGGAUUUACUGGGUGUAAAGGGAGCGCAGACGGCUGUGCAAGUCUGGAGUGAAAGGCGGGGGCCCAACCCCCGGACUGCUCUGGAAACUGUAAAGCUGGAGUGCAGGAGAGGUAAGCGGAAUUCCUAGUGUAGCGGUGAAAUGCGUAGAUAUUAGGAGGAAUACCGUUAGCGAAGGCGGCAAUCUGGCUGGAAACUGACGCUGAGGUGCGAAAGCGUGGGUAGCAAACAGGAUUAGAUACCCUUGUAGUC